rnacentral:rRNA from 1 species
AGUCAUACGCUCGUCUCAAAGAUUAAGCCAUGCAUGUGUAAGUAUAAAUAAUUUUACUUUGAAACUGCGAAUGGCUCAUUAUAUCAGUUAUAGUUUAUUAGAAAUACUUUACUACUUGGAUAACCGUAGUAAUUCUAGGGCUAAUACAUGAAUAAAUCCUCAACUUCGGAAGAGGUGUGUUUAUUAGUAUGAAAACCAUAUAUCUUCGGAUAUAAUAGUGAGUAAUAAUAACCUUUCGUAUCGUAUGUCGUAAGAUAACGAUAGUUCUUUCAAGUUUCUGCCCUAUCAGCUUUCGAUGGUAGUAUAUGGGACUACCAUGGCAGUAACGGGUAACGAAGAAUUUGGGUUCGAUUUCGGAGAGGGAGCCUGAGAGAUGGCUACCACAUCCAAGGAAGGCAGCAGGCGCGUAAAUUACCCAAUCCUGACAUAGGGAGGUAGUGACAAUAAAUCACAAUGCGGAACUAUUUAGUUUUGCAAUUGGAUUGAGAACAAUGUACAAAUGUUAUCGAUAAACAAUUGGAGGGCAAGUCUGGUGCCAGCAGCCGCGGUAAUUCCAGCUCCAAUAGCGUAUAUUAACGUUGUUGCAGUUAAAAAGCUCGUAGUUGAAAUGUGGGAUGAAGUAUAUGAUGAAUUUAAUAUUCAAUUAUAUAUUGAUUCCCCUCUCCAAUUUAUUAUUAUGGGUAUUAAUUUAUUUGUAAUAAGAAUUGGUCAUUUACUGUGAGAAAAUUAGAGUGUUCAAAGCAGGCAUUUGCUUGAAUAGAUUAGCAUGGAAUAAUACUAAAAGGCUUUUAUGGUCGAUUUAAUUGGUUUGUUCAUAAAAGCAAGAUUAAAAGGAACAGUUGGGGGUAUUCAUAUUCAAUAGUUAGAGGUGAAAUUCUCGGAUUUAUGGAA